rnacentral:lncRNA from 10 species
GGCUGUGGGAGCAAUCUGUGUGGUACAUCUGUGGCCCCGCUGGCUGCCAGGUGUCUGGAGACCUGUGCUCCAUCUCUCCCCUCAUGCCAUGUGCCUCCCUCCUGAGGCUGUGGGUUGCAUCCAAGAGAAUGACCUUCCUCGACAGAGGAGGGCAGCUCUCCAGGAAAAGAAAUGGGAGGAACUUCCUUCUUCUGCUGGAACCCCCAACUACAGGUUUAAAAUGCUGUGUGUGUGUGUGUGUGUGUGCACAUGUGUGUGUGUGUACAUCUUUAGUUAGUGAGACCACUGUAGGUGGUUUCAGGU